rnacentral:rRNA from 1 species
UACAGGGGGUGCAAACGUUGCUCGGAAUUAUUGGGCGUAAAGCGCGCGUAGGCGGUUUCUAAGUCGGAUGUGAAAGCCCUUGGCUCAACCGAGGAAGUGCAUCCGAAACUGGAAAGCUAGAGUCCCAAAGAGGAUCGCGGAAGUUCCCAGUGUAGAGGUGAAAUUCGAUAGAUAUUGGGAGGAACACCGGGUGGCGAAGGCGGCGAUCUGGGGUGGU